GGUAAAAUGACUGAAUUUAGGUAAUAAACUGUAAAUUUAUUUAUGAAAAUAAUAAUUUUCUUUUACCA
rnacentral:tRNA from 1 species